ACAAGUAGAGGCGCGGCGAUCAUGAGUCGCAUGCCGGAGGCACUGACAGCCGUUGAGGGUAUGUAAAAGGGAAAGCCGCCGAAGUGAUCUUGCUCUGUCAGGGCGGGAUUGCUGGGUCUGCAGUGAACAGCUGCAGGACUGUCACCGGAAUGGGAUCAGAUCCGGUGGAGUGCUACUUC
rnacentral:ncRNA from 1 species